CAAUAGCGUAUAUUAAAGUUGUUGCAGUUAAAAGCUCGUAGUUGGAUUUCUGAUGUCUUUUUUCUUCCUUUCUUGUUCACAAAUUGUGGAUGUUAGGUUUGAUUGGACAUCUUCCUUCCCUGUUAAUUUGGUUUUGAAAUAUUAAUUUGUUUCUGGAUCAAAUGGGGAUCAUUUACUGUGAAAAAUUAGAGUGUUCAAAGCAAGUAUUUAAUUUCUUGAAUACAUUAGCAUGGAAUAAUAAGAUAGGACUUUGGUUAUAUUUUGUUGGUUUGCAAACUAAGGUAAUGAUUAAUAGGAACAUAUUGGGGAUAUCUGUAUUUUUUAGUCAGAGGUGAAAUUCUUGGAUUUAAGAAAGACAAACUACAGCGAAAGCAUUUAUCAAGGAUGUUUUCAUUGAUCAAGAACGAAAGUUGGGGGAUCGAAGAUGAUCAGAUACCA
rnacentral:rRNA from 1 species